AGCGAACGCUGGCGGCAGGCUUAACACAUGCAAGUCGAGCGGGCAUCUUCGGAUGUCAGCGGCAGACGGGUGAGUAACACGUGGGAACGUACCCUUCGGUUCGGAACAACUCUGGGAAACUGGAGCUAAUACCGGAUACGCCCUUAUGGGGAAAGGUUUACUGCCGAAGGAUCGGCCCGCGUCUGAUUAGCUAGUUGGUGGGGUAACGGCCUACCAAGGCGACGUUCAGUAGCUGGUCUGAGAGGAUGAUCAGCCACACUGGGACUGAGACACGGCCCAGACUCCUACGGGAGGCAGCAGCGGGGAAUAUUGGACAAUGGGCGCAAGCCUGAUCCAGCCAUGCCGCGUGAGUGAUGAAGGCCUUAGGGUUGUAAAGCUCUUUUGUCCGGGACGAUAAUGACGGUACCGGAAGAAUAAGCCCCGGCUAACUUCGUG
rnacentral:rRNA from 1 species